UACAGAGGCCCCAAGCGUUAUCCGGAAUUAUUGGGCGUAAAGGGUGUCCAGGCGGCCCUGUUAGUCGUUUGUAAAAUCCGUGGGCUUAACCUACGGUCUGCAAGCGAAACGGCAGGGCUCGAGGGCGCGAGAGGUACAGGGAACUCAUGGUGGAGGGGUGAAAUCCGUUGAUAUCAUGGGGAACACCAAAGGCGAAGGCACUGUACUGGCGCGUUCCUGACGCUCACACACGAAAGCCAGGGGAUCGAACAGG
rnacentral:rRNA from 1 species